CAGGCAUGCCGUGCGUACAUUUAAGGGCACGCAAAGGAGGAGGCAGGUCAUUCCAACAUUUAGAAGCAGCAAACCUGAAGGAGCCUCUAAAAGCCGCAGUAUGAUGUUUGGGAGUGUUAAAGACAUGGGUACAUUCUCUUCUGGGAUAUCGGCUCAGCUCACGUGCCCACUCCAGCUUCGAGAAAAGAGAGCCGCUAGUCAUUGUGCUGCGAGGCCGAACACCCUACCAAUGUCGUCCAUCGAACGCAGCUGAAAGACCUGGGAACCGUCACCUCUGCGCGCGAAGAUGCGUCCCCUCCUCGUCCAGGAGUACUUCCACUGGAGGCGACGGCACUCCUCGCGCACCCUGUGGAAGAGCUGACGGUUG